rnacentral:tRNA from 1 species
GGGCUCGUAGCUCAGUGGUUAGAGCACUAUCCUGAUAAGAUAGGGGUCGUUGGUUCAAGUCCAACCGAGCCCAC